GAUCAAUUUCCGCGGGCCACAAGGAAAUAUUGUUUACAAAGGUCACGGAUUGUUCAGCAUCAAAGCCGAUAAGAAGGCCGAGCCGAAGAAUCGAGUUUUCAAGCAUCUUUCCAUGAUUGCUGGAGGAACCGGAAUCACACCAAUGCUUCAAGUCAUUGCUGCCAUUCUUCGUGAUCCAACUGACACCACUCAGAUCAGACUUUUGUUUGCAAAUCAGACUGAGGACGAUAUUCUGUGCAGACAGGAACUUGACGAUCUUGCAAAGGAGCAUCCAACUCGUUUCCGUGUAUGGUAUACAGUCGAUAGACCACCAGUGAUGUGGAGCUAUUCCUCUGGAUUCAUCAAUGACAGCAUGAUCAAGGUGAGAAAAAAAGCUGAAACAUGUUUUCUGAAAUUGUAUAAUUUAUUUUCAGGAAAACCUCUUCCCACCUGGCGAUGAUUCUGCUGUUCUCUUGUGCGGACCACCACCAAUGAUCAACUUUGCUUGCAUUCCGAACCUUGAGAAGCUCGAAUACGACCCAGCAAAUCGUCUUCUCUUCUAGAUCAAUCAGGAUCCCCAACUACUUUCUGUGUUAUUAAUUAGUUUCAUCGCCAUUCUCAAUGUUCAUGUAUUUGACUACAAUAGUAAACCUUUUUCUAACAUAUUCCAAUUUUGAAAAGAAGACGAUGCAUUUCAAAAGCUAAGAAUCAAACUACCAGUUCGUUAGGAGCCAGAUUUUGUCAGCACUAUGAGAGAGCGGUCAUCUUAAGAGAGAUGUGAGUGGGACAAAUUAAAAAGCGACUACAAAAAUCACUUUUGAAACUAGUUUACACACUUUUACUGAGAGACAACCUACACACACACGCACUUGAUGACUUCAGUGUCUCCUCAUUUUUGUGUCAUUUUGUAUUUAUUUUUAAUGUUCGAUUUUUUUUCUAUAUUUCGUUUUGAAAUCCUCAAAAACUCCAGUUCUGUUCCUAUUUUAGAGAGAAAAUGCAAAAUAUCCAAAAAUUUACACAUUUAAAAGUAUAAAAUCCAAUAUUAAACGCAGGCAUUUAUUUUAUACAAUCUGAAAUUUAUUGAAGUGCAAUUAAAACUGGCAGAAUUCUCAACAAAAAUGCUAUUACCUAGACGCGAAAUUUUACAAUUUGGCGCCAAAACUACGGUACAAGGUCUCAACACGAUAAUUUUUUGGUUAAGUUCAAAUAGGUACGCGUCUUUAAAAAGUACUGUACUUUCAAACUAACUGGAUUUUUUUACUCGUUUUGUUUUCAAAAGUUUUUCGUAGUAAAACUAUGAAUUAAUCUAAAAACAAAAUUCUAACAAGUUUUGAGAAAUUAAAUAUAAAUAUAAAAACGCAGCAAAAUGAGAGUUUCAAGUUACAGUACUCUUUAAAGGCGCACACGUUUUCGCAUUCGAUGAAUACUUGUCGUGUCGGUACCGUAUUUUUGAGCAAAAAUCAUUAAUUUUCGAGUUUGAUUAAUAUGAUAAAUAUUUUCGACGGGACCAGUUUGAAAAAUGCAUGCGCCUUUCAGUAGUUGUCCAUACAGCUGCGAAACAAUAAUAAUUCCAAAUGAGUUGGUUAUUUUAAUAUUAUAUCCCGAUUAGGAGACGAAAAAACAAAGUAUUUUUUUCUGAUUCUUUUCUUUUCGACCUUUUAAAUCGAAAAUUAAUUAAUAUUUUAGGCCAUUUCAAUCUCGACACUUUUUUUGAAAUGGUUGAGAACAAUACACUUGCGAUAACUGGAGGCGUGGUACUUAUUUCAAGUGUUUCUCUAUUUUUGUAUUUGAGACAACUCAGGGCUGAAAAAGUGAGUCUUCCAUUCUUUUUAUUUCCUAAUACAAAAAAGUUUAGAAAUCAAAAAGAACGCUUGAAGACGAUUCGGUCAAAUAUUUGCUUCCUCUCAUAGAAAAGUUCGAGAUCAGUCACAAUACGAGAAAAUUCCGAUUCGGAUUACCAUCGAAGGAUCAUAUUCUAGGACUUCCCAUUGGACAUCAUGUGUAUCUUAGUGCCAAUGUAUGUUUUCUUCAGAUGAUAUAAUUAAUUAUUUUAAAAUAAUUUCCAGAUUGGUGGAAAGCUUAUAGUUCGAUCCUAUACCCCAGUGUCUUGUGACUUAGACUUGGGAUAUGUAGAUUUGAUGGUUAAAGUGUAUUUUAAGAAUACACAUGAAAGAUUCCCGGAUGGUGGGAAAAUGAGCCAACAUUUGGAGAGCCUCAAGAUUGGAGAUACU
rnacentral:sRNA from 1 species